AGGCCAAAGAAAGUUAAAAAAAAAAAAGAAGAAAAAUAUAAUAUCUGUGUUUCCCUCUAGAAGGAGGUUUCAUUAUCACAUGGAAGCAGGGUUUACAUGAAUUUGCACCAUUCACAGGCCACUUGCUGUCCUCCAAGCCGUGCAACCUGAGGGGACCUGUGAAAUGGUUCACUCCUCUCUUGACUCAGAAAAUCUUGUAAAAUCAGGCAGCUCAAGAAGUUCUUAUUCUCACAUUAACUUUGGAAUACCCAUGAAACUACCCAAGUCACCAAAGAAGCUGAAGAAUACCUACAAAGUGAAAAAAAAAACCCACAUCAUUAAUGUGUGUGGUGGUUUGAACGAGAAC